rnacentral:rRNA from 1 species
AAACUGAAGAGUUUGAUCCUGGCUCAGAUUGAACGCUGGCGGCAUGCUUUACACAUGCAAGUCGAACGGCAGCACGGGGGCAACCCUGGUGGCGAGUGGCGAACGGGUGAGUAAUAUAUCGGAACGUGCCCAGUCGUGGGGGAUAACGUAGCGAAAGUUACGCUAAUACCGCAUACGAUCUAAGGAUGAAAGCGGGGGAUCGCAAGACCUCGCGCGAUUGGAGCGGCCGAUAUCAGAUUAGGUAGUUGGUGGGGUAAAGGCUCACCAAGCCAACGAUCUGUAGCUGGUCUGAGAGGACGACCAGCCACACUGGGACUGAGACACGGCCCAGACUCCUACGGGAGGCAGCAGUGGGG